rnacentral:rRNA from 1 species
GCGCAGACUCCUUCGGGAGGCAGCAGUGGGAAUUAUUGGCCAAUGGGCGAAAGCCUGAUCCAGCCCUGCCGCGUGUGUGAAGAAGGCCUUUUGGUUGUAAAGCACUUUAAGCGAGGAGGAGGCUACCGAGAUUAAUACUCUUGGAUAGUGGACGUUACUCGCAGAAUAAGCACCGGCUAACUCUGUGCCAGCAGCCGCGGUAAUACAGAGGGUGCGAGCGUUAAUCGGAUUUACUGGGCGUAAAGCGUGCGUAGGCGGCUUUUUAAGUCGGAUGUGAAAUCCCUGAGCUUAACUUAGGAAUUGCAUUCGAUACUGGGAAGCUAGAGUAUGGGAGAGGAUGGUAGAAUUCCAGGUGUAGCGGUGAAAUGCGUAGAGAUCUGGAGGAAUACCGAUGGCGAAGGCAGCCAUCUGGCCUAAUACUGACGCUGAGGUACGAAAGCAUGGGGAGCAAACAGGAUUAGAUACCCUGGUAGUCCAUGCCGUAAACGAUGUCUACUAGCCGUUGGGGCCUUUGAGGCUUUAGUGGCGCAGCUAACGCGAUAAGUAGACCGCCUGGGGAGUACGGUCGCAAGACUAAAACUCAAAUGAAUUGACGGGGGCCCGCACAAGCGGUGGAGCAUGUGGUUUAAUUCGAUGCAACGCGAAGAACCUUACCUGGUCUUGACAUAGUAAGAACUUUCCAGAGAUGGAUUGGUGCCUUCGGGAACUUACAUACAGGUGCUGCAUGGCUGUCGUCAGCUCGUGUCGUGAGAUGUUGGGUUAAGUCCCGCAACGAGCGCAACCCUUUUCCUUAUUUGCCAGCGGGUUAAGCCGGGAACUUUAAGGAUACUGCCAGUGACAAACUGGAGGAAGGCGGGGACGACGUCAAGUCAUCAUGGCCCUUACGACCAGGGCUACACACGUGCUACAAUGGUCGGUACAAAGGGUUGCUACCUAGCGAUAGGAUGCUAAUCUCAAAAAGCCGAUCGUAGUCCGGAUUGGAGUCUGCAACUCGACUCCAUGAAGUCGGAAUCGCUAGUAAUCGCGGAUCAGAAUGCCGCGGUGAAUACGUUCCCGGGCCUUGUACACACCGCCCGUCACACCAUGGGAAUUUGUUGCACCAGAAGUAGGUAGUCUAACCGCAAGGAGGACGCUACCAC